rnacentral:rRNA from 1 species
AACGUAGGGGGCGAGCGUUGUCCGGAAUUACUGGGCGUAAAGGGCGCGUAGGCGGUUAUCCAAGUCAGGGGUGAAAACCUUGGGCUCAACUCAGGGCCUGCCUCUGAAACUGGGUAACUUGAGGGCAGGAGAGGGGAGUGGAAUUCCCAGUGUAGCGGUGAAAUGCGUAGAUAUUGGGAGGAACACCAGUGGCGAAGGCGGCUCUCUGGCCUAACCCUGACGCUGAGGCGCGAAAGCGUGGGGAUCAAACAGGAUUAGAUACCCUGGUAGUCCACGCCGUAAACGAUGGGUGCUAGGUGUAGGAGGUAUCGACCCCUUCUGUGCCGUAGUUAACACAAUAAGCACCCCGCCUGGGGAGUACGGCCGCAAGGUUGAAACUCAAAGGAAUUGACGGGGGCCCGCACAAGCGGUGGAGCAUGUGGUUUAAUUCGACGCAACGCGAAGAACCUUACCAGGGUUUGACAUCCUCUGACAGCCUAUGAAAGUAGGUUUUUCAUCUUCGGAUGGACAGGGAGACAGGUGGUGCAUGGUU